AGCAGCCGCGGUAAUUCCAGCUCCAAUAGCGUAUAUUAAAGUUGUUGCAGUUAAAAAGCUCGUAGUUGAACUUCAGGCCUGUCCAGACGGUCCGCCUUAAUUGGUGUGUACUGUCCUUGGGUGGGUCCUACCUUCUGGCGAAGCGGCAUGGCCUUAAUUGGUUGUGUCGGGGAACCAGGACUUUUUACUGUGAAAAAAGUUAGAGUGUUCAAAGCAGGCAAAUAUGCUCGAAUACAUUAGCAUGGAAUAAUGGAAUAGGACGAUGGUUCUAUUUUGUUGGUUCUAGGACCGUUGUAAUGAUUAAUAGGGAUAGUUGGGGGCAUUAGUAUUCAAUUGUCAGAGGUGAAAUUCUUGGAUUUAUUGAAGACUAACUACUGCGAAAGCAUUUGCCAAGGAUGUUUUCAUUAAUCAAGAACGAAAGUUAGGGGAUCGAAGACGAUCAGAUACCGUCGUAGUCUUAACCAUAAACUAUGCCGACUAGGAAUCGGGCGAUGUUGACAAAAUGACUCGCUCGGCACCU
rnacentral:misc_RNA from 2 species